UGGGGAAUCUUCCGCAAUGGACGAAAGUCUGACGGAGCAACGCCGCGUGAGUGAAGACGGCCUUCGGGUUGUAAAGCUCUGUGAUUCGGGACGAAAGGCCAUAUGUGAAUAAUAUAUGGAAAUGACGGUACCGAAAAAGCAAGCCACGGCUAACUACGUGCCAGCAGCCGCGGUAAUACGUAGGUGGCAAGCGUUGUCCGGAAUUAUUGGGCGUAAAGCGCGCGCCGGCGGUCACUUAAGUCCAUCUUAGAAGUGCGGGGCUUAACCCCGUGAUUGGAAGGAAACUGGGAGACUGGGGGAUCGGAGAGGAAAGUUGAAUUCCUAGUGUAGCGGUGAAAUGCCUAAAUAAUAGGAAGAACACCGGUGGCGAAGGCGACUUUCUGGACGAAAACUGACCCUGAGGCGCGAAAGCGUUGGGAGCAAACAGG
rnacentral:rRNA from 1 species